UGUAAUGAUGAUAUCAUAGACUAGAGUCUCUGACUAUAGCAUGAAGUUCUUCACAGUGGACUGAACA